AGUGAACGCUGGCGGCAGGCCUAACACAUGCAAGUCGAACGGCAGCACAAGAGAGCUUGCUCUCUGGGUGGCGAGUGGCGGACGGGUGAGGCAUGCAUCGGAAUCUGCUCAUUUGUGGGGGAUAACCCCGGGAAACCGGGACUAAUACCGCAUACGACCUACGGGUGAAAGCAGGGGAUCUUCGGACCUUGCGCAGAUGGAUGAGCCGAUGCCGGAUUAGCUAGUUGGAGGGGUAAAGGCCCACCAAGGCGACGAUCCGUAGCUGGUCUGAGAGGAUGAUCAGCCACACUGGGACUGAGACACGGCCCAGACUCCUACGGGAGGCAGCAGUGGGGAAUAUUGGACAAUGGGCGCAAGCCUGAUCCAGCCAUGCCGCGUGUGUGAAGAAGGCCUUCGGGUUGUAAAGCACUUUUGUUGGGAAAGAAAAGCAGCCGGUUAAUACCCGGUUGUCAUGACGGUACCCAAAGAAUAAGCACCGGCUAACUUCGUG
rnacentral:rRNA from 1 species